rnacentral:rRNA from 1 species
CCUACGGGAGGCAGCAGUGGGGAAUUUUCCGCAAUGGGCGAAAGCCUGACGGAGCAAUACCGCGUGAGGGAGGAAGGCUCUUGGGUUGUAAACCUCUUUUUUCAGGGAAGAUAAUGACGGUACCUGAGGAAUAAGCAUCGGCUAACUCCGUGCCAGCAGCCGCGGUAAUACGGAGGAUGCAAGCGUUAUCCGGAAUGAUUGGGCGUAAAGCGUCCGCAGGUGGUUUUAAAAGUCUGUUGUUAAAGCGUGAGACUUAACCUCAUAAGGGCAAUGGAAACUGUAAGACUAGAGUACGUUCGGGGCAAGGGGAAUUCCCGAGUGUAGCGGUGAAAUGCGUAGAGAUUGGGAAGAACACCGGUGGCGAAAGCGCCUUGCUAGGCCGUAACUGACACUGAGGGACGAAAGCUAGGGGAGCGAAUGGGAUUAGAUACCCCAGUAGUCCUAGCCGUAAACGAUGGAUACUAGGCGUUGUCUGUAUCGACCCGGACAGUGCCGUAGCUAACGCGUUAAGUAUCCCGCCUGGGGAGUACGCACGCAAGUGUGAAACUCAAAGGAAUUGACGG